UAUAUUAUUAUUGUGCUCUGAGUUUCGAAAUAUUUAGCGACGAUUUAGUUUAUUGUGAUCAGUAUCGAUUGGUAGUGUGAUAUAGUAGUAUAUAGUAUAGUGUAGUGCAGUGAAUUGUUGUGUUGUUAACAUCAGUUUCGAUUUAUAUUGUGAAUAUCGGAGAAGUUGAUAAUGGAGAAGAAGGUUAAAAAAUCACCCAUCAAGAACGUGGAGGAACGAAGAGAGGAAAGA